rnacentral:lncRNA from 1 species
UGAAGACCUGAAGGGGGAAGGGAGACAGCCAGGCAGCGAGCCACAGUGAAGAACUGAAGACAGUGAGUCCAUGUGUUCUGCUGCACACGAGGAGGGACUGUGUUUGUGUUUGUGAACACACGGGGUGAUGAUGAUGAUUAUGGUGGUGGUGGUGAUGGCUAAUCCAAAUAUGAUUAUAUGAAUACAAAUAUGCAAUUAAAAUGAAUUAAUCAGAUAAACAUAAAUACUUACAGAUCUCAAAUUGCCAAGGUACACUGCUUUGCUGUAUUGCAUGUGAGCAUUGGUUACUGGUUACUGCCUACUGGUUACUUGCAUCCAGACUGCAUCUAAAGAAAGAGAGAGAGGGAGACUCCAAGCAAGUAAGCAAGCUGCUGACAUUUUCAAUGUCAUCUGUUCGAUGGGGAGAAGAUAAAAACAAUAAGUGGCAUAGUAGAUAGCAUAGCAUAGCAUAGCAAAUAAAGGACAAAACUGAUGUGGGAUUUAUGCGGGAUACGAUUCGUUUUCAUCUCCACCGAUAUUUACAACAAGACUAAACGACUAAUUAAUCAAUAGUUCGAUAUUACUUUAUAUAUACGGACUAUUUCUCCUUUUCAUUUCCUCUUCGUCUCCAACUAAGCUCCUCUGCUAAAAAAUCCUAACAAGAACCUAGCUAUUAGCUUAGCUACCUGCUGGUGAUGGAAAGAGUGUUGUUCGGAAUGGAGAAACGGAAAGAGGGUGAAGCUGAAGCUUCUUCGGAGUGUAGCAGUGGGUGUGAGUCUGGUUGGACCAUGUACUUCAAUCACACCAAUGAUGAUGGGUUUAUCAAGGACGGCAGGAAAUGCGGAUUGGAGCAAGUGGAAGAAGCAGAAGAUCUUUCUAUGAUCUCCGAUGCAUCUUCUGGUCCUCCUCAUUUCCAUGCUCAUGACGAAUUAUUCAGCCCUGCUGCAUUGGUCAAAAAAGAUGGUAUCAGGAAAAUAGUCGACGUGCAGUAUCAUAGGAAACAGCUCUGCUCACCACUCAAGAAGGAGGAAUCUUAUGGGUUUCUAGAUGACACUGCCAGUUCACCUAUGGCUCCGGUUCAACAAAAAUUCAACAUCAUCACUUCAAGCAACCAACAACCUCUGCUGCCUGUGGAUGAUAUUGUGGAAU